rnacentral:rRNA from 1 species
UCAGUCGACUCCUACGGGGAGGCAGCAGUGGGGAAUAUUGCACAAUGGGGGAAACCCUGAUGCAGCCAUGCCGCGUGUGUGAAGAAGGCCUUCGGGGUUGUAAAGCACUUUCAGUAGGGAGGAAGGUAGUGUAGUUAACACCUGCAUUAUUUGACGUUACCUACAGAAGAAGCACCGGCUAACUCCGUGCCAGCAGCCGCGGUAAUACGGAGGGGUGCGAGCGUUAAUCGGAAUUACUGGGCGUAAAGCGCAUGCAGGCGGCCUGUUAAGUCAGAUGUGAAAGCCCGGGGCUUAACCUCGGAAUUGCAUUUGAAACUGGCAGGCUAGAGUCUUGUAGAGGGGGGUAGGAAUUUCAGGUGUAGCGGUGAAAUGCGUAGAGAUCUGAAGGAAUACCAGUGGCGAAGGCGGCCCCCUGGACAAAGACUGACGCUCAGAUGCGAAAGCGUGGGGAGCAAACAGGAUUAGAUACCCUGGUAG